GGGCGCGUGGCCUAGCGGAUCAGGGCGAGGGGUUCCUAACCCCUCGAUCGCGGGUUCGAAUCCCGCCGCGCCCG
rnacentral:tRNA from 1 species